AUGGCGGAGGGGGAGGUAAGGAGGGACAUGUGGGGGCAGGAGUACCGCACGGCCUCCGCCGACUGCGCGGCGGCGCUGGACGACUACUACGCGCAGACCAUGUCCUUCGGCCGCGGCCGGGGCCGCGCCGUGCUCCGCGCGGCCGCCGCCGACCCCGCCUGCGCGCUCGCCGCGCUGCACACCGCGCACUUCGUCGGCCCGCGCGACCGCGCCGGGGCCGCCGCCUUCCUCGCCGCCGCCGCCGACAGCCUCGGCAAGGCGACGGAGUACGAGCGGGCGGUGUUCCGCGCGCUCUCGGCGCUCCUCGGCGAGGACAGGGACACGGAGGUGGCCAUCGACCGGCAUUUCCAGCUGCUCAAGGAGUUCCCCAGGGAUCUCAUGUCCCUCAAGAGAGCGCAGCUCCUCUGCUUCUACGUCGGACGGCCGGACACAUCCCUCAAAUUUGUUCAACAAGUUUUGCCGGAGAACCAAGAUCGGAACUAUAUAUACGGCAUGCUCGCUUUCCCUUUGCUAGAGCUCGGAAGAAUGGACGAAGCUGAGAUAGCUGCUCGGAAAGGCUUGGCUAUAAACAAGAACGACUUCUGGUCACAGCAUAAUAUGUGCCAUGUUUUCCAGCAGGAAUGUCGCUUCAGAGAAGCCACUGAAUUCAUGGAAUCAUGUUCUCCAUCAUGGACAUCAUGCUCAUCAUUUAUGUUUACCCACAACUGGUGGCAUGUGGCAGUCUGUUACUUGGAAGCCGAAGCCCCUAUUAGUAAAGUUAUGGAGGUAUAUGAUCAAAACAUCAUGAAGGAACUCGAUAGAAGUGAUUGUGAGCCAGCGGAGGUGUACGUGAAUGCUCUUGGUUUGCUACUCCGUUUAUAUGUGCGUGGUGAAAUAGGUCCAGCCAAAGAGAAGCUAACACCAUUGCUAGAUGAACUUAAGAAUGAGUCCAUUUGGCAUGCGGAAUGGCUCCUCGAUUUACUUAUAUUAUGGGCAUUAUCAAGUAUGAAUGAAAUUAAAGCAGCAGAAAAUCUGCUGGACUCACUACGCUCAAGAGUCUCUUCAAUGGACACGAAGAGACAGCAAGUGAUGCACAAGGCAAUUCAGCUAGCCGAUGCUGUUUAUAAAUAUGGAAAAGGAGAGCACAAGGCGGUGUUUGACACCCUGGGUCCAGACUUCGAUGGGCUUAGCUAUAAAAUGAUUGGCGCAUCAGAUGAACAAGUGGACGUCUUCAAUGAAGUUUGGUACACUGUCUUAAUAAAUGCUGGAGAGACGUCUACAGCAAUUGAGCUGCUCGUCAAACAAAUCAGCAAACGACAGGGCGCGCCUUUCCUGUGGCGCUUGCUGGAGAAAGCAUACGCAGUGGAGGGCAGAGGUGCGGAUGCUUCAGUGGCUGCCGAGAAGGCAAAUGCUCUACAAGCUGCUCAGUUUCAUUAG
rnacentral:rRNA from 1 species